rnacentral:rRNA from 1 species
AGAAGGGAGCUUGCUCCCGGAUGUUAGCGGCGGACGGGUGAGUAACACGUGGGUAACCUGCCUGUAAGACUGGGAUAACUCCGGGAAACCGGAGCUAAUACCGGAUAGUUCCUUGAACCGCAUGGUUCAAGGAUGAAAGACGGUUUCGGCUGUCACUUACAGAUGGACCCGCGGCGCAUUAGCUAGUUGGUGGGGUAAUGGCUCACCAAGGCGACGAUGCGUAGCCGACCUGAGAGGGUGAUCGGCCACACUGGGACUGAGACACGGCCCAGACUCCUACGGGAGGCAGCAGUAGGGAAUCUUCCGCAAUGGACGAAAGUCUGACGGAGCAACGCCGCGUGAGUGAUGAAGGUUUUCGGAUCGUAAAGCUCUGUUGUUAGGGAAGAACAAGUGCGAGAGUAACUGCUCGCACCUUGACGGUACCUAACCAGAAAGCCACGGCUAACUACGUGCCAGCAGCCGCGGUAAUACGUAGGUGGCAAGCGUUGUCCGGAAUUAUUGGGCGUAAAGGGCUCGCAGGCGGUUUCUUAAGUCUGAUGUGAAAGCCCCCGGCUCAACCGGGGAGGGUCAUUGGAAACUGGGAAACUUGAGUGCAGAAGAGGAGAGUGGAAUUCCACGUGUAGCGGUGAAAUGCGUAGAGAUGUGGAGGAACACCAGUGGCGAAGGCGACUCUCUGGUCUGUAACUGACGCUGAGGAGCGAAAGCGUGGGGAGCGAACAGGAUUAGAUACCCUGGUAGUCCACGCCGUAAACGAUGAGUGCUAAGUGUUAGGGGGUUUCCGCCCCUUAGUGCUGCAGCUAACGCAUUAAGCACUCCGCCUGGGGAGUACGGUCGCAAGACUGAAACUC